AUUUCAUUUGAAAUGUGAAUGUAACAAUUUUUAAAGUAGAGAAGGUGUAGAGCACAGCAGGAAAUAUCCUGCUCAAAAUCUGGAGCAACCCGACUGGAGGAACCCCACUGGACCUUACAGAAGAUCACAUCUAAAUCCUUCCAUUGUUCUUGUUUUCCUGUAGUCAGUCACUCAGUUCAGCCUAUUGCAGUCCACUGCUGGACAUAGGCCUCCCAAGUUCGAGCCAGAUAUCCCAUCUCGGUUUUCCGCAAUCCUCAUCCAGCCUACACCGGCCAUUUUACGUAGAUCGUCAGUCCAGCAGCGGGCCGGAGGACGUACCACACUACGUUUGCCAAGAUGCGGUCUUCACUCCAGGACACAUCUACUCCAACGGCCAUCCAUUUAUAGUA
rnacentral:misc_RNA from 1 species